rnacentral:lncRNA from 1 species
AUAAAUUGAUAAUAUAUAAAUAAAGAAACUAAAAGAGCAGAAAAAUUGAAGGGAUCGUGUGCUUGUUUUUGAGAUAUAAGCCAUUGAAAAUUUGGCUUGAAAUAAUUUUCUCUAGAUUUUUUAAUACAUUAACAUUGGCACCUUUUUUUUUUCUAAAACGAUGAAAAAAAACAAGGAUUUUAUAAGAUUUUCAAAGACGACAUUUCAAACUAUAUGUUAUCAAAUUAUGGAAAGAAAAGUAGGGGUUAGUGGGCAAAAUUGUUUAAGGCAUUCAAGUGGAUAAAACCAGAGGAUAUCGAAAAUCUGACAAAAAAUCAAAAAAUAGGAGCAAACAUCCUUAACAAAAGUGGAAAAUAUGAUUUUGACCAACAGUUAGACCAGAAAAACCUUAGUUAUUGAAAUAUUUGUAUGAUCUUUAAAACUGUAUUCUUUAAUUAUUAAUGUUAUGCAGGGUUACUUCAUACAAAUAUAUUGCAGAAAAGAUAUUUGAUUUUAUAACUAAACACUAGAUGCUCUGUAUUUGGUAUU